rnacentral:rRNA from 1 species
GAUGAACGCUGGCGGCGUGCCUAACACAUGCAAGUCGAGCGAAGCGCUUAAAUUAGCUUUCUUCGGAAUGACGAUUUUUGUGACUGAGCGGCGGACGGGUGAGUAACGCGUGGGUAACCUGCCUCAUACAGGGGGAUAACAGUUAGAAAUGACUGCUAAUACCGCAUAAGACCCCAGCUUCGCAUGAAGCGGUGGUAAAAACUCCGGUGGUAUGAGAUGGACCCGCGUCUGAUUAGCUAGUUGGUAAGGUAACGGCUUACCAAGGCGACGAUCAGUAGCCGACCUGAGAGGGUGACCGGCCACAGUGGGACUGAGACACGGCCCAGACUCCUACGGGAGGCAGCAGUGGGGAAUAUUGCACAAUGGGGGAAACCCUGAUGCAGCGACGCCGCGUGAAGGAUGAAGUAUUUCGGUAUGUAAACUUCUAUCAGCAGGGAAGAAAGUGACGGUACCUGACGAAGAAGCCCCGGCUAACUACGUG